GGAGCUGGAUUGUGAAUUUGUUUUGUUUUGUUUUGUUUUGUUUUUGGAGAUGGAGUCUCACUCUGUCACCCAGGCUGGAGUGCAGUGGCGCGAUCUCAGCUCACUGCAACCUCUGCCUUUCGGGUUCCAGCAAUUCUCCUGCCUCAGCCUCCUGAGUAGCUGGGAUUACAGGCUUGCACCAUCAUGCCUGGCUAAUUUUUGUAUUUUUGGUAGAGACAGGGUUUCACCAUGUUGGCAAGGCUGGUCUUGAACUCCUGACCUCAGGUGAUCUACCCGCUUUGGCCUCCCAAAGUGCUGGGAUUACAAGCAUGAACUACCAUGCCUGGCUGCGAAUGUAUUUUGAAUGUGGAGCUACCUGGGUUGAGGGAUGGAUUGGAUGUUCCAUGUGAGCAAAGAGAAGAAUCGAAUGUGAGACUCCAAGUUUUUAACACAUGCCUAAAGGUGAAUGGAGGUGCCAUUUCCUAAGAUAAGGAGGAUGGCAGGAAGAACCAGUUUGGGGGUGAGACUUAAGAAUUUCGUUUUGGACAUAUAUUUUUUUAUUGUGGUAAAAUUUAUAUUACAUAAAAAUUACCAUUUUUACCAUCUUAAAGUGUACCAUUCAGUAGCAUUACAUACAUUGACAGUGUUGUCACCAUCACCAUCAUCCAUCUCCAGAACUCUUUCAUCAUCCCAGGCAGAAAUUCUGCAAUCCUUAAACUCUAACUCCCUCUCCUCCACUCCCUGCAGACCCUGGUAACCUCUAUUUCACCUCCACCUCUAUUGCACAUGGAAGUAUAAGAUGCCUGCUGGACAUCCAAGUGAAGAUGUUGAAAGGCAGUUGGUAUACUGAUUCUGGGUUGAAGGGAGAGACAAGAGCUAGAGACAUCCAUUUGCGAAUCAUCAGCAGAUGGAACAGUGUGCAUACAAUUCCCAUUGAUUCGACUGAAUGUUUGACUUAGCUUCUCUCACUCCAGUGCAGCCCAGAAAAUGAACAUGGUGCAAGACACUGUACCCAGCAUAGAGUAAUGCUUCAAUCAAUAUUUAUUAGGCUGAGCAACGAAACCUUUUGCCCUGUAGUUUGAAGGAACAUUCAUUCAUUGAACAAGAAUUUUUAGAACUACAAGCCUUUAAAAUAAAUACUUUUCUUUCUUGAAAAUAAAAAGUCUCAAUGAAUUUUAAAUACACUGGCACUUCUUUUGCAGUUUUCAGAAAUAAUGUUUGAUUUGUGAUCUCUUUGGCUGAUGAUUGUGCCAAAAUCCAGUACCACCUGAUACCAUGCUGUGCUACAUAAACAGAAUGGGAGUGACGUGACCAGAUGUGUUUUGUCAAGAUGAGGACCAAUCAGCUUGAGAAACAGGAGAAGAGCUUCUGUCUAAACCCAGGCAUACAAGGUUUCUUUCCACCCACAAAGUUAACGUGCAUCGUGAAUGGGCCUGAAUAUAAUUCCUCCAACAGAACUUGCCAGUUCUGUGGCUGCACUGCCAGUCACUCUCAGGAACGCGCAAAGAAAAAGAUGAUUUCAAGUCCAGGGUCUAGAUCUGCUGCCCAGGAUGGAGUGCAGUAGCAUGAUCACAGCUCACUGCAGCCGCAGCCUCAACCUUCCAGGCUCAAGCGAUCCUCCCAGCUCAGCCCCCCAAGCACCUGGGAUAACAGGCACGCGCCAGCAAGCCCGACUAAUUUUUGUAUUUUUAGUAGAGACCGGGUUUCACCAUAUUGCCCAGGCUGGUCUCAAACUCCUUGGCCUCCCAAAGUGCUGGGAUUACAGGUGUGAGCCACGGUACCCGGCCUAAAUAUUUUAACCUAUGUUGCUUCAUUUCAACCUCACAACAACCAAAAAUCUUUUACAUUUUACUGUGGAAUAAUCACCUGGUUAUUAUUAUUAUUAUUAUUAUUAUUAUUAUUAUUAUUAUUAUUAUUAUUUUUUAGACAGAGUCUUCCUCAGUUGCCCAGGCUGGAGUGCAGUGGCGCGAUCUCCGCUCACUGCAAGCUCCGCCUCCCGAGUUCAC
rnacentral:lncRNA from 10 species